AGUGAACGCUGGCGGUAGGCCUAACACAUGCAAGUCGAACGGCAGCACAGUAAGAGCUUGCUCUUACGGGUGGCGAGUGGCGGACGGGUGAGGAAUACAUCGGAAUCUACUUUUUCGUGGGGGAUAACGUAGGGAAACUUACGCUAAUACCGCAUACGACCUACGGGUGAAAGCAGGGGAUCUUCGGACCUUGCGCGAUUGAAUGAGCCGAUGUCGGAUUAGCUAGUUGGCGGGGUAAAGGCCCACCAAGGCGACGAUCCGUAGCUGGUCUGAGAGGAUGAUCAGCCACACUGGAACUGAGACACGGUCCAGACUCCUACGGGAGGCAGCAGUGGGGAAUAUUGGACAAUGGGCGCAAGCCUGAUCCAGCCAUACCGCGUGGGUGAAGAAGGCCUUCGGGUUGUAAAACCCUUUUGUUGGGAAAGAAAAGCAGUAGGUGAAUACCCCGCUGUUCUGACGGUACCCAAAGAAUAAGCACCGGCUAACUUCGUG
rnacentral:rRNA from 1 species